AGGUUACUGCUAUCGAGGUUCGACUAAGCCAUGCGAGUCGAAUGUAGCAAUACAUGGCGUACUGCUCAGUAACACGUGGACAACCUACCCUUAGGCCUGGGAUAACCCCGGGAAACUGGGAAUAAUACCGAAUAUCUCGCGAAUGCUGGAAUGCGUCACGAUAGAAAGCUCCGGCGCCUAAGGAUGGGUCUGCGGCCUAUCAGGGUAGUAGUGGGUGUAACGUACCUACUAGCCUACGACGGGUACGGGUUGUGAGAGCAAGAGCCCGGAGAUGGAUUCUGAGACACGAAUCCAGGCCCUACGGGGUGCAGCAGGCGCGAAAACUUUACAAUGCUGGAAACAGCGAUAAGGGGACCUCGAGUGCCAGGAUACAAUCCUGGCUGUCGUAAUGCCUAAAAAGCAUUGCAUAGCAAGGGCCGGGCAAGACCGGUGCCAGCCGCCGCGGUAACACCGGCGGCUCGAGUGGUAACCGCUAUUAUUGGGUCUAAAGGGUCUGUAGCCGGCUGACUAAGUCUCUUGGGAAAUCUGACAGCUUAACUGUCAGGCUUUCAGGAGAUACUGAUCGGCUCGAGACCGGGAGAGGUGAGGGGUACCUCAGGGGUAGGGGUGAAAUCUUGUAAUCCUUGAGGGACCACCAGUGGCGAAGGCGUCUCACCAGAACGGAUCUGACGGCAAGGGACGAAAGCUAGGGGCACGAACCGGAUUAGAUACCCGGGUAGUCCUAGCCGUAAACGAUACUCGCUAGGUGUCGGCCACGGUGCGACCGUGGUCGGUGCCGUAGGGAAGCCGUGAAGCGAGCCACCUGGGAAGUACGGCCGCAAGGCUGAAACUUAA
rnacentral:rRNA from 1 species